rnacentral:rRNA from 1 species
GAUGAACGCUGGCGGCGUGCCUAAUACAUGCAAGUCGAGCGAACAGACGAGGAGCUUGCUCCUCUGGCGUUAGCGGCGGACGGGUGAGUAACACGUGGAUAACCUACCUAUAAGACUGGGAUGACUUCGGGAAACCGGAGCUAAUACCGGAUAAUAUAUUGAACCGCAUGGUUCAAUAGUGAAAGACGGUUUUGCUGUCACUUAUAGAUGGAUCCGCGCCGCAUUAGCUAGUUGGUAAGGUAACGGCUUACCAAGGCAACGAUGCGUAGCCGACCUGAGAGGGUGAUCGGCCACACUGGAACUGAGACACGGUCCAGACGCCUACGGGAGGCAGCAGUAGGGAAUCUUCCGCAAUGGGCGAAAGCUUGACGGAGCAACGCCGCGUGAGUGAUGAAGGUCUUCGGAUCGUAAAACUCUGUUAUUAGGGAAGAACAAAUGUGUAAGUAACUAUGCACGUCUUGACGGUACCUAAUCAGAAAGCCACGGCUAACUACGUG